AAGUAAAUGUGUCGAGGUUGCUCUAGAAAAAUCAUCAACUAUUGUAAGAAAGUAUUUUGAGCCAGAGGAAGUGGGAGUGUGAUAAGGACCCCAAGUAUCUACAUGAAUCAAUUGGAAAGGCCUACAUGUACUUAUAGAGCUAUCAGGAAAGGGAAGUCUUGUUUGCCUAGCCAUAGGACAAAUAGAGCAAGGAAAUGGUUGUUUAUAAGCAAAUGGAAAGGAUAAAGCAGAAAUGUGUUUCAUGUUUGUAAAAGGAAUAUGAGCUAGUCUUAAAUGCCAAAUGUAACUUAUGUCAGUUGCAGCAGCAUUGUUACAAAUGGAACUAUUUACAUUUGAAGGCAAAGUAACAGUCUGAUUGCUAGAAGAACAGACAUGAUUACAAGAAUCAGAAAGGGAACACACAGAAGCAGAUGAACAACAGUUAAAAGGAGUAGGUGAAGGUGGAACCCAAGAUAACUUGUACAAACCAGCCUCCUCUUUACCAAGAUCUAGAGGCAUCUUCAGAGAAGGGGCCUGUAGCAUGUGAAGGAAACAGGAAGUUGCAGUAAACAAGACUACACAAUGCAACUGUUUUACUAGCUUGGGGAUAGAAAUUAAGUUGUGUUUGAAAGAGGGAACAAACAACACAUUAUGAAGAAUGAUGAAUGGAGUUAAUGCAAAAGAUCAUGUGGAAGUCACUUUCACUUUGUAUCCAUUGGGAAGAGUGACAAGAUAAGGUACAGUUAAGGGUGUGAUAUUAAAGAGUAAGCUUUUACUAGAUGUCAUAUGGUCAGAAGCCUCUGAGCCUAAUUAUCCAGGCGAUAGAAUAAAUUUGAGUAAGCAUACAAAAAGAACCAGUGGAUGUCACUUUCACUUUGUAUCCAUUAGGGAUAGUUACAAGAUAGGGUACAGUUAAGGGUGUGAUAUUAAAAAGUAAGCUUUUAUUAGAUGUCAUAUGGUUAGAUGCUCCUGAGUCUAUUAUCCAGGUGGCAGAAUCAAUUUGAGUAAGCAUACAAAGUUUGGAAUCACAAACAGGACUCUCAAUUAGCAUAGUACCAGCAAAAUUGGCAGUACACAUGGGAGGAAGAGCUUGAGCAGUGGAGUCCCCCAAUUGAGUCUGUUGUAGCAAGGUCAUCAGUUGAUCAUAUUGUUGUCUGCUCAACACUGGUAUUAUAGAUCUUUGUCCAUCCACAGUUUGGACAGGUUGAUGACUCUCAGUAGGAUUUCCAUGAGAGUUAGGGAAAUCUGCACCAGUGGUUAUAUAAGCAGCAGCAUGUCUCCUCCUUUUGUUAAUGCUGGUACUAUGUGGAUACCCAUGAAGCUUGUAAC
rnacentral:lncRNA from 1 species